AGCUUUCGCGUCUUCAAGAUUUUCUAUCACUGCAUCAAGAUCAAGAACCCCGGAUCUACCUAGAGAAAGAAAAAAACAUUCAAGAUGUCUCCCUGCUCGUGUACCUCUUGCAGCGGCUGCUCUGGCAACUGCUCCGGCUGCGGAUGCAGCUCAUGCUCUCACUAGACGCUCUGGUGCGGCAAGCAUGUCUAGAGGUAGUUUGGCAUGUCUUGCUUAGCACACUUCCCUGCUUCAUCUUGUCGUAUUCCGAUUUCCACCAUGGCACGAUCGACCGUAUACGGCAACAUCAAGAAGGAUGAAUGGAUGGGACGUGUUACUGGAGGAUAUUGACGACGUGGGUGAAUAUGCGAUCGGCUUGGGAAUGGAGACACCAGAUAAUGGCGGGAGAGAAAAGACGCCAACACGGUUCAUUAACUGUUGAUCGAGACCUGCCUUGCCUUCGAUGAUCGGUUAUGACUUGUCAUCCGGCAGAUGGGGCCUCGAAGCAGGGACCAGUUUAUACCACACAAUUGAACAUCACCACUCACUCAUU